GAUCGAUCAGCCAUGAUUGAAUGGCAGAGUAGACUUGAUGGGCCGAAUGGCCUAAUUCUGAUCCUAUCACAUAUGACCUUAUGAUAAAUACCAUGGUGCAAGAACAAGUUGGCUGAAUAUCCUGCAGAGAGUGACAUGCUUCCUGACACCCAAAAUUUACAAGGGACAAGUCAGGAACACUCCAUUUGUCUGGGUGAGUGCAGCUUGAAAACGUAAGAAGCUUAUCAACAUAUGCGAUGAAGCAGUCCUCAUGAUUGACACCCUAUCCUUCCACCCGUAAACACUAACUUCCUCCACACCAGUGCCCAGUGGCUGUUGUCUGUAUCAUGUAACAACAAAUACAUUGCAGUUACUUACCAAGGUCCUCCAGAAUCACCCAAAUCUAGAAUCACCCCCAUCCCCACUACCCCUCUCCAGUUCCCACCAUCUCGGCUUGAAAAUAUAUCAGCAAUCCUUCAUUAUUGCUGGGUGUCAUUUCAACUGGAAACUCACUAAUUGAAAAUUAUUUCUGCAUAUGUCAGAAAUGCUCCAUCACAAAAAUAU